CAGGCCCACUUUUCCAAGCAUGAUCAGAAGCAGCAUGCAGCUGAUCUCCAGGGGCCGGCUGAGCUGGGGCUGGUGGUACCGACUAGUGCAGUUCUCACAGAGUAGAGCAGCCAUCCUCCAACGGUGAGAAGCAGCACACAGCACACACAGGAGCAGAGCACGUCCCGCUGUGGCUUUCAGCUGUAACUCCGGGCUGUCUCUUCUUUUUUUCCAUGAUGUGUUUGGUAACUCGGAGACAAAUCUAAUGAGUGACAAGACGUGGAGGCCUGCGAGUUUGUUGCUGCAGCUCCUGCCCCAUGUGCGGGAUGGCAUCCAGAGCUGAGGCGCCUGCUUGGGCCGGGUCACCGCGUGGGAGGUGGAGAGAUGCUACAGUCACCCUACAUGCUGGCAGUUAAGGCAGUACCAGUAAGAAGGCAGUUCCUUUGCAAUAAGUGACGUAAGAAGUGGGCCAGCAGAGCGCCACCUGUUUGGUAAGUACCGCUGUGAUUUUCUCUGACGUGUUUGUCAGGAUACUUCAAGUGCACUCACAGUUCUGUUAUGAGCAUAUUGUGAUCUUCUAUCAUUAUCUCAUUCUAAAGUAAUUUGGAAGUAUUUGGAGAGUAUUUAUGGAAUUAUGCUUGGUUACAGUAAUGGGUCAUCAAGUCCUUUACUUAACCCCUGAGCACCUCCAUCAAGGUCUCUUCCUUCACGCUACUACUUUGAGAUACAGAGUUGUUCACAGCAGACCAAGUGAAGGGGCUGCAGGCUAAUUCAACUUCUACACUGUGUGAGCUUGGAGCUCCCUUGGGGUGAUAAUACACGUUUUUCAUGUGUUUUGUAACCUAGAUCCUUGUCUCUAGGCACAGGUGGAUAUCAUUGCCAUGUCACACAUCCACCUAACAGGUAACACGUGGCAACAUUCCUAAACUAAGUUCUUCUCAUUUUGCCAUUUCAACUUUCUCUUCUCACCAAGUAAAAACAAGAAUUUUUUAACUUCUAUGAGAGAACAACUAACAUCUACUGUGUUAGUUUCUCCAAGAAGUGCCAAUCAAUCAGCUGCCUGCUGUUAGAUGUGCUGCCAGUGUCUGUGCUCUACAGUGUUCAGUGCACAGCGGUGCUCUCCAAAGCACUGAGUGCAAACACCUUCUGAAAGAUACAUCUGCAAAAGAUCAGCCAAACUUAUUUCAGCUCCUGUUGGCAGCGGCAGGAAUCCAACAAAAUGAACUGCAGGGAUGUCUUCAGUAGAAAAAAGACUUCAUAAUUCUGCUCUUGCAUGGUAAAGAGUAAGUUAGCUAGCAGGCGGCAGUACUAGCUCUUAAGAUCAGAUGUACUGUAAAUGAGAGGCAGCCAGCUGAAGAUUCUUGCACAGAAAGGGCUGCAGUGUUAUUCUCAACUCUAGAUGUGAGGAUGUGAAACACAAGCACAAAAACUAGCACCUGUAUGAGCAAAGCAUAAAGAACAUCUUAAAAUGGCUGCUGAAAUGAGUGAAAUGGCUGUUAGCUGAGACCUUUACUAUCACGUAACGCUUAUCUCAGAAAGGUAAUGAAGGUGGUGACAGGACUUUGUUA